rnacentral:rRNA from 1 species
AACGCUAGCUACAGGCUUAACACAUGCAAGUCGCGGGGCAGCAUGUCGGUUGCUUGCAACCGAUGAUGGCGACCGGCGCACGGGUGAGUAACGCGUAUCCAACCUGCCCUUCACCACGGAAUAAUCCGGUGAAAAUUGGUCUAAUACCGUAUGAGGUCAUACGAUGGCAUCAGAAUAUGACGAAAGGUUUGGCGGUGAAGGAUGGGGAUGCGUCUGAUUAGCUUGUUGGUGAGGUAACGGCUCACCAAGGCGACGAUCAGUAGGGGUUCUGAGAGGAAGGUCCCCCACAUUGGAACUGAGACACGGUCCAAACUCCUACGGGAGGCAGCAGUGAGGAAUAUUGGUCAAUGGGCGAGAGCCUGAACCAGCCAAGUAGCGUGAAGGACGAAGGCCCUAUGGGUUGUAAACUUCUUUUGCGGGGGGAUAUAACGCGCCACGCGUGGCGUCUUGCAGGUACCCCGCGAAUAAGGGUCGGCUAACUCCGUGCCAGCAGCCGCGGUAAUACGGAGGACCCGAGCGUUAUCCGGAUUUAUUGGGUUUAAAGGGUGCGUAGGCGGGACCUUAAGUCAGUUGUGAAAUCCGGCGGCCCAACCGUCGGCCUGCAGUUGAUACUGGGGUCCUUGAGUUCGGACGAGGCAGGCGGAAUUCGUGGUGUAGCGGUGAAAUGCAUAGAUAUCACGAAGAACUCCGAUUG